AAGCCAGCUAAAGGAGAAAUCCAGAUCGGCCCACAAAUAACGGAGAAAAGAAGAAUGUUCCGGUCACAGGAAACCAUCGCACGCCUUGGAGUCCUAUCCACGGAUCAAGGACAUCAGGAGGAAAUUAAGGAUCAAGGAUAUUUUUCCUGUCGAGUGGCGGAGAACUCGCCAUUAGGCGUGUCGAAUUAUCUUAUUGAAUCUUUUCCGAGGAUCUUCCCGAUCACGGGAUGGAGAAAUGGAGAAAACCGGAUAUACAUAUACAUUACUGACAUCGCCUUCCCACCUGCACCACGGAUUACCACAUCCUGGAUUCCUAUCUAUGACUAGGUUAUUGGCUCAGACCAGGGACCAGCGAUCCACGGCGGAAUUGUUGGCUCACGCCCUCGCUAAAUAUUGGUAACCAUUCGUUCGCCGCCGAAUAAAACGCUGCGCUUCAGCUUUGAGACGCAGGACUUAUGUAUGUACCCUACGCUUUGCCACAAACCGAGUCCAGACGGAGUCCUAUCAAAGUAUCCCAGCCAGACGGAAUCGUAUCCCAGCAGGACGAAAGCACACCCCUUGCAAAAUCCGAGCCUUCGUCAUCCUUCUACCUUGUCAUCGACAACCAGGACUUUGACUAUGGCAACCAAGGGAGGGGCUACGCAGACUUCUAGAUUCUGGAAAGAUCUCGUUGUUGUUAGGUUUAAGGAUACACGUCUAUAUACUAAGAUAGUAGAUAUAAAUGUUUUCCACUUUCCAUAACUAAGUUA
rnacentral:sRNA from 1 species